GCCAGGCUUGGUGGUGCACACCUGUAGUCCUGGCUACUCUAGAGGCUGAGGCAGGAGGAUGGCUUGAGCCCAGGAGUUCAAGGCUGCAGUGAGCUGUGAUCGUGCCACUGCACUCUAGCCUGGGCUACAGAGCGAGACUUUGUCUCUA
rnacentral:SRP_RNA from 1 species